rnacentral:rRNA from 1 species
GUACACUCCUGCGGGAGGCAGCAGUGGGGAAUUUUGGACAAUGGGCGAAAGCCUGAUCCAGCAAUGCCGCGUGAGUGAAGAAGGCCUUCGGGUUGUAAAGCUCUUUUGUCAGGGAAGAAACGGUGAAAGCUAAUAUCUUUUGCUAAUGACGGUACCUGAAGAAUAAGCACCGGCUAACUACGUGCCAGCAGCCGCGGUAAUACGUAGGGUGCAAGCGUUAAUCGGAAUUACUGGGCGUAAAGCGUGCGCAGGCGGUUUUGUAAGUCUGAUGUGAAAUCCCCGGGCUCAACCUGGGAAUUGCAUUGGAGACUGCAAGGCUAGAAUCUGGCAGAGGGGGGUAGAAUUCCACGUGUAGCAGUGAAAUGCGUAGAUAUGUGGAGGAACACCGAUGGCGAAGGCAGCCCCCUGGGUCAAGAUUGACGCUCAUGCACGAAAGCGUGGGGAGCAAACAGGAUUAGAAACCCUUGUAGUCCCAUG